AUUGAACGCUGGCGGCAGGCCUAACACAUGCAAGUCGAACGAGUGGCGGACGGGUGAGUAAUGUCUGGUAAACUGCCUGAUGGAGGGGGAUAACUACUGGAAAACGUCGCUAAUACCGCAUACCAUCAUAUUUGCCCAGCUGGGAGUAGCUAGUGGGUGGGGUAACGGCUCACCAAGGCGACGAUCCCUAGCUGGUCGGAGAGGAUGACCAGCAACACUGGAACUGAGACACGGUCCAGACUCCUACGGGAGGCAGCAGGGGGGAAUAGUGCACAAUGGGGGAAAGCCUGAUGCAGCCAUGCCGCGUGUAUGAAGAAGGCUUUCGGGUUGUAAAGUACUUGAAGCGGGGAGGCGUUACCCGCAGAAGAAGCACCGGCUAACUCCGUGCCAGCAGCCGCGGUAAUAC
rnacentral:rRNA from 1 species